UAAUUAUUUUCAUUUGGAUUAUGUAUGUACGGUAAUACAAUAAAUGGGUAUCUCAAUUUGACUGUGUGUACUUAGGAACAAGAUCUUUGUACAUGUAUAUGGUAAUAGCCUUUAUAUUAUUAACACUGUUAUUCAAAUUCUAUUAUUUAUCACUCAUUAGUGCUAUUUUACCUAUGUACCUCUUUUGUUGAUACUGAUACAUAAUCAUUCGUUCAUAAUAGCCCUAUUAAUAUAUAUAUAUUGUAUAGAGGUGACAUUGGGUCUGUCUCUACAACAGUGCUUUCAUAUAUUUACUAUACUUUUGACUUCUUUUAAAGUGAUAGGUUAAGUUCGGCACGUAACAUCUAAGUAAUGUACAUUUUUUGCAGUACUUCAACUGUAUAUAUAUGUAUAUUCAGUAGACUAGAUCUCUUUUAACAUUUGUUGAUGUUACUUGAUUAAACACUGUAACC
rnacentral:sRNA from 1 species